GUUUUUUAUUGAGAUCUUGUUUGAAUGGUUAAAUGAAAUAAAUUCUUUUUUAUUUUAAAUAUUUAAUUUUAUAUUUUAGUUAAAAAGCUAAAAUAAUUAAAGGGGACGAGAAGACCCUAUAGAAUUUUAUAUGAUAAAUUAAUUUAUGUAAUAAAUUUUAGUAAAUUAAAUUGAUUAUAUUUUAUUGGGGCGAUAAUUAAAUUUAAUUAACUUUAAUAAUUAUUUUUCAUUUAUAAAUGUAUAAUUGAUCCGUUUUUAUUGAUUAAAAAAUCAAAUUACCUUAGGGAUAACAGCAUAAUAAUAUUAAGAAGUUCUUAUUUUUAGUAUUGUUUAU
rnacentral:rRNA from 1 species